rnacentral:rRNA from 1 species
AUUGAACGCUGGCGGCAGGCCUAACACAUGCAAGUCGAACGAGUGGCGGACGGGUGAGUAAUGUCUGGGAAACUGCCCGAUGGAGGGGGAUAACUACUGGAAACGGUAGCUAAUACCGCAUACCAUCGGAUGUGCCCAGAUGGGAGUAGCUUGUAGGUGAGGUAACGGCUCACCUAGGCGACGAUGCCUAGCUGGUCUGAGAGGAUGACCAGCCAAAAUGGAACUGAGACACGGGCCAGACUCCGACGGGAGGCAGCAGUGGGGAAUAUUGCACAAGUGGCGCAAGCCUGAGGCAGCUAUGCCGCGUGGAUGAAGAAGGCAUUCGGGUUGUAAAGUACUGUCAGCGGGGAGGCGUGACCCGCAGAAGAAGCACCGGCUAACUCAGUGCCAGCAGCCGCGGUAAUAC